GACGAACGCUGGCGGCGUGCUUAACACAUGCAAGUCGAACGGAAAGGCCCUGCUUUUGUGGUGUGCUCGAGUGGCGAACGGGUGAGGAACACGUGAGUAACCUGCCCUUGACUUUGGGAUAACUUCAGGAAACUGGGGCUAAUACCGGAUAGGAGCUCCUGCUGCAUUGUGGGGGUUGGAAAGUUUCGGCGGUUGGGGAUGGACUCGCGGCUUAUCAGCUUGUUGGUGGGGUAGUGGCUUACCAAGGCUUUGACGGGUAGCCGGCCUGAGAGGGUGACCGGCCACAUUGGGCCUGAGAUACGGCCCAGACUCCUACGGGAGGCAGCAGUGGGGAAUAUUGCACAAUGGGAGGAAGCGUGAUGCAGAAACGCCGCGUGCGGGAUGACGGCCUUCGGGUUGUAAACCGCUUUAGCCUGUGACGAAGCGUGAGUGACGGUAAUGGGUAAAGAAGCACCGGCUAACUACGUG
rnacentral:rRNA from 1 species